GGGGGGGGGUGGGGGGGGGCGUGGGAGGUGGGGGGCGAGCGGGCGGGGGGGGGGCUGGCUCCUGUGGGGUUGUCGGCGGGGGGGGGAUUAACACGGGUAUGCCAUACCUCUACGACUGGGCUGCCUUCGGGAGACCGGGCCUCCUACCGGUUACUAUAUUUACACGACUGGUUCAGUAUUGCCAGCCAGUUUUUCUUUCACUUAUCGCUUGAUCCUCUCCGCAUUAACUAGUUGGUCAGGUACAGGCUUACCAACGCAACUAUGCGUAGCCGACCUGAGAGGGUGAUCGGCCACAAUGGAACUGAUACACGGUCCAGACUCCUACGGGAGGCAGCAGUAGGGAAUCUUCCGCAAUGGGCGAAAGCCUGACGGAGCAACGCCGCGUGAGUGAUGAAGGUCUUCGGAUCGUAAAACUCUGUUAUUAGGGAAGAACAAAUGUGUAAGUAACUAUGCACGUCUUGACGGUACCUAAUCAGAAAGCCACGGCUAACUACGUG
rnacentral:rRNA from 1 species